rnacentral:rRNA from 1 species
CGAUGAGUAGGGCGGGACACGUGGUAUCCUGUCUGAAUAUGGGGGGACCAUCCUCCAAGGCUAAAUACUCCUGACUGACCGAUAGUGAACCAGUACCGUGAGGGAAAGGCGAAAAGAACCCCGGCGAGGGGAGUGAAAAAGAACCUGAAACCGUGUACGUACAAGCAGUGGGAGCACAGGUUUACCUGUGUGACUGCGUACCUUUUGUAUAAUGGGUCAGCGACUUAUAUUCUGUAGCAAGGUUAACCGAAUAGGGGAGCCGCAGGGAAACCGAGUCUUAACCGGGCGUUAAGUUGCAGGGUAUAGACCCGAAACCCGGUGAUCUAGCCAUGGGCAGGUUGAAGGUUGGGUAACACUAACUGGAGGACCGAACCGACUAAUGUUGAAAAAUUAGCGGAUGACCUGUGGCUGGGGGUGAAAGGCCAAUCAAACCGGGAGAUAGCUGGUUCUCCCCGAAAGCUAUUUAGGUAGCGCCUCGUGAAUUCAUCUCCGGGGGUAGAGCACUGUUUCGGCYAGGGGGYCAUCCCGRCUUACCAACCCGAUGCAAACUGCGAAUACCGRAGAAUGUUAUCACGGGAGACACACGGCGGGUGCUAACGUCCGUCGUGAAGAGGGAAACAACCCAGACCGCCAGCUAAGGUCCCAAAGUCAUGGUUAAGUGGGAAACGAUGUGGGAAGGCCCAGACAGCCAGGAUGUUGGCUUAGAAGCAGCCAUCAUUUAAAGAAAGCGUAAUAGCUCACUGGUCGAGUCGGCCUGCGCGGAAGAUGUAACGGGGCU